rnacentral:rRNA from 1 species
GAUGAACGCUGGCGGCGUGCCUAAUACAUGCAAGUCGAGCGAACGGACGAGAAGCUUUCUUCUCUGAUGUUAUCGGCGGACGGGUGAGUAACACGUGGAUAACCUACCUAUAAGACUGGGAUAACUUCGGGAAACCGGAGCUAAUACCGGAUGAUAUUUUGAACCGCAUGGUUCAAAAGUGAAAGACGGUCUUGCUGUCACUUAUAGAUGGAUCCGCGCUGCAUUAGCUAGUUGGUAAGGUAACGGCUUACCAAGGCAACGAUGCAUAGCCGACCUGAGAGGGUGAUCGGCCACACUGGAACUGAGGCACGGUCCAGACUCCUACGGGAGGCAGCAGUAGGGACUCUUCCGCAAUGGGCGAAGGCCUGACGGAGCAACGCCGCGUGAGUGAUGAAGGUCUUCGGAUCGUAAAACUCUGUUAUUAGGGAAGAACAUAUGUGUAAGUAACUGUGCACAUCUUGACGGUACCUAAUCAGAAAGCCACGGCUAACUACGUG